UAUUGUAGGACUUGUAUUUAUCUAUUGAAAUUGAAUUAUGAUAAAUCAUGUUUUGCAAUAAC
rnacentral:pre_miRNA from 1 species